GGAAUUUGCCGAGAAGAACUGGCCUCCAGUAAGACAUCAAGAGUAUUCCUGUAUUUGGCCAGACCAUGAGCUCGAAGUUCAGCUUGAUACUUGGUCUUGCAAGUAUCCAAAGGAUACAAUAUAGUGGUGCUUAGCAAAGAUCCUAUGGCCCCAGAAGUUGCCUCAGCCAAAGACUCCAUAUUCAAAGCCAUAAUCGAAGAACAAGUGAAUUUGACCGGAGAGAAAUGAACCCCAAUCGCAGAUAACUCAAUUUUACCAAAAAUCAAAAUUGGAGUUCAAGUAGUAGCGCAUAGGGAAUCGGAAACGUGAGGGAAUGGGCUUGU
rnacentral:misc_RNA from 1 species